UCCCUGGUGGUCCAGUGGUUAAGACACUGCACUUCCACGGCAGAGGGUGUGGGUUCGAUUUCUGGUUGGGGAA
rnacentral:tRNA from 1 species